GCACAGCGCGGCUGCCAUCGAGGAGAAGAUGUAUGUGGUGGGAGGAUGCUCCGCGGACCGAUACUUGAACGAUGUGCUGGUUUUGGACUUGGGAAGCUUGAAGUGGUCGACAGCCCAACCUUGUCCCGUGUCGUGCGCCGGCCAUUGCCUGUUAGCAGGUGGAAGAACGCUCUUUCUCGUUGUUGGCAUUCCGUCUGAUGA